GCUUGUCUCAAAGAUUAAGCCAUGCAUGUCUAAGUAUAAACUGCUUUAUACUGUGAAACUGCGAAUGGCUCAUUAAAUCAGUUAUAGUUUAUUUGAUGGUACUUACUUACUCGGAUAACCGUAGUAAUUCUAGAGCUAAUACAUGCGACAACCCUCAUUAGAGGCGUAUUUAUUAGAUACAACCAACCCUUCGGGUCACUGGUGAAUCAUAAUAACUUAUCGAACCGCAUGCGCAAGCGGCGGUGGUUCAUUCAAGUUUCUGCCCUAUCAGCUUUCGAUGGUAGGGUAUUGGCCUACCAUGGCUUUCACGGGUAACGGAGAAUUAGGGUUCGAUUCCGGAGAGGGAGCCUGAGAGAUGGCUACCACAUCCAAGGAAGGCAGCAGG
rnacentral:rRNA from 1 species